UGUGGUUGCUGAAUUAGUGAUCGGCGAGCACGUUAUUUCAUCCUUAAGGAGUGUAUUAUGUCACUAACUGUUGAACAGAAAGCGAAACUGGUAGAAGAAUUCGGCCGUGGUGAG
rfam:Idiomarina xiamenensis 10-D-4 contig20, whole genome shotgun sequence.